rnacentral:rRNA from 1 species
UACGUAGGGUGCAAGCGUUGCCCGGAUUUAUUGGGCGUAAAGGGCGCGUAGGCGGCCCAGCAAGUCAUGCGUGAAAUCUCCCGGCUUAACUGGGAGGGGUCGUGUGAUACUGCUGGGCUGGAGCAAGGUAGGGGGCAGUGGAAUUCCCGGUGUAGUGGUGGAAUGCGUAGAUAUCGGGAGGAACACCGGUGGUGUAGACGGCUCUCUGGACCAUAACUGACGCUGAGACACGAAAGCGUGGGUAGCAAACAGG